GACAUUUUUAAAGUGUGCAUGUG
rnacentral:siRNA from 1 species